rnacentral:lncRNA from 1 species
AAUAAUAUUCAAGAUAAUAACCAACCAGAUGCUCCGCAGGGCGUAGCUUUAUACGACCGCAGAGGUUGAACCCUGAACGGUUGGGGCAAGUAUGGACACAACAUUCAAGCUGGAUUCAGCUCUAAAUUUGGAUUGUGAUUAAAUAGUUGAUACAGCAUAGGUUUCUGACACAGAAUGAAUGUGUUCUAAUGAACUUAAAAUUUUUGUUUUCUCUUAGAGCAAUUCACUAUGCUGUUGAAUAUUAAUCCUCUCAAAAAAAUGUUUGAAGAAAUUUUCUUUUUUAUUUAUGAAAUUUCAAAUGAGAAAAAU